UACGAAGGGUGCAAACGUUGCUCGGAAUUAUUGGGCGUAAAGCGCACGUAGGCGGCUUUUCAAGUCCCAUGUGAAAUCCCACGGCUUAACCGUGGAAGUGCAUGGGAAACUGGAAAGCUUGAGUACUUAAGAGGAUCGCGGAAUUCCCGGUGUAGAGGUGAAAUUCGUAGAUAUUCGGAGGAACACCAGUGGCGAAGGCGGCUCACUGGUCCGGUACUGACGCUGAGGUGCGAAAGCGUGGGGAGCAAACAGG
rnacentral:rRNA from 1 species